AUGAUUUGCUUAUGUUUAAGAGUUUUCUUUUAAGUUCUUAUUGAUUUGAAAUGAUGUUUGAUAUAUGAAUAUUUCCAAGGGUAUUUCCAAUCAAGAGCUUAUGUUGAGUUUAAAGUAUGUUUUAUGUGAUUUAAAUGUUUAUGAAAUGGUGUUCAAACUAUUAGUCUCUUCUUAUCAUUGAGCUAAUUAUUAUGUGCACAUAAGAAGUAAAGGCAGCCAUGUAGAAAAGGACUAUAUGGUGGAAUGAAGUCAGCUGAUGCAUAAAAGAUCUGUAUUGUGUUAGGCGUGCGGUCUAAGCAACAAGAAGUGAACCAAAAUUUUCUUGAAUGUUGUUGAUGAAAAGGACAUCAUGGUUGUUUAAACGCAAGGUUUAGGCAUUAAGGCCAAGUAAGAAAAGACUGAGAAGCUGUUGUGCAAGAAAGGAAUGUCAAGUGUUUCGUUCUUAAGUUCAAAUAUUGUAUUCAUGUAUUUUAUAUUGUUGUAAAACGCUCGGUUAUAGAUUAAUAAAAAGAAAUAUUUUCAUA